UGAGGGGGCAUUAGGUACAGCAGGAUACAUUGCUUUAUAGGGAGGUGGGGGUUGUGGUUGGGCAUGGCCGGGGGCUGACUGGGUAGGGGGCACAAUUGGUGGUGGAUAUAGAUUCUCAGGAGGGGCGUCUAUAGGAAAGCGGAUAGUAUUACUGUCAACAGUUCCCUUUCUCUUAGCCAGGUGUUUCUUAGCUCCCUUUAAAACCUUUCCUGUUACACUACAAGGAAACCAAUG